UGUCCUAUGGUGUAACGGUAGCACACCGGUUUUUGGUGCCGUUUGCCCAGGUUCGAAUCCUGGUGGGACAA
rnacentral:tRNA from 1 species